rnacentral:rRNA from 1 species
CCAAUAGCGUAUAUUAAAGUUGUUGCAGUUAAAAAGCUCGUAGUUGAAUUUCGAGAUCAAAUUGUUGGUCGUGCCUCGGUACGUACUGGCAUUAUUGAUUUCUCCCUUCUGAAGAACCUUGAUGUCAUUAAUUUGGUGUCUUGGGGAAUCAGGACCGUUACUUUGAAAAAAUUAGAGUGUUUAAAGCAGGCUCACGCUUGAAUACAUUAGCAUGGAAUAAUGAAAUAGGACGUUUGAUUCUAUUUUGCUGGUUUCUAGGAUCGACGUAAUGAUUAAUAGGGAUAGUUGGGGGCAUUAGUAUUCAAUUGUCAGAGGUGAAAUUCUUGGAUUUAUUGAAGACUAACUACUGCGAAAGCAUUUGCCAAGGAUGUUUUCAUUAAUCAAGAACGAAAGUUAGGGGAUCGAAGACGAUCAGAUACCGUCGUAGUCUUAACCAUAAACUAUGCCGACUAGGGAUCGGAUGAUGUUAAUUUUUUAAUGACUCAUUCGGCGCCUUACG